CACAAGGUGGAAUUCUCCCAUCCCCUGCUUUAAUUCUCUUCUUGUUACUUUCCUCAAGUUUAAGCAUGUCUCUGGUUAGACUAAUAUUCUCAGGGCUAUUAUCACUUCCAGUCCCUCCUUCUACUUCAAUUGGCAAGGCAUUGAAGGGAUGCCAGAUACUGACACAAACAAAUGGUUGCAAGCUGCUGGAGAAGAAAUAGAAUAUAUCUUCACAAGAACAAAACUUGGAGCUACCAAAAGGGAGAAAGACCAUUGGAUGUAAAUGGGUCAUUACAACCAAACGAGGUGCAGAAAAGACACUGCCUCAGAUCAAUGAAACUGAAACACAAUCCAAGAUUGGCUGCAAUCCUGAACAGGCGGGGUUAAAGGUGAUCUAAAAGGAUACCGUGGUCGACGGUAUCGAAAGCCGCUGAGAGAUCCAGGAGGACGAGGAAAGC